rnacentral:rRNA from 1 species
AGCAGUAUCCUGAGUACGGCGGGACACGUGAAAUCCCGUCGGAAUCUGGGAGGACCAUCUCCCAACCCUAAAUACUCCCUAGUGACCGAUAGUGAACCAGUACCGUGAGGGAAAGGUGAAAAGCACCCCGGGAGGGGAGUGAAAUAGAACCUGAAACCGUGUGCCUACAACAAGUUCGAGCCCGUUAAUGGGUGAGAGCGUGCCUUUUGUAGAAUGAACCGGCGAGUUACGUUAUGAUGCGAGGUUAAGUUGAAGAGACGGAGCCGUAGGGAAACCGAGUCUGAAUAGGGCGCCUUAGUAUCAUGACGUAGACCCGAAACCAUGUGACCUACCCAUGAGCAGGUUGAAGGUGCGGUAAGACGCACUGGAGGACCGAACCAGGGCACGUUGAAAAGUGCUUGGAUGACUUGUGGGUAGCGGAGAAAUUCCAAACGAACUUGGAGAUAGCUGGUUCUCUCCGAAAUAGCUUUAGGGCUAGCGUCGACAUUAGAGAUUCUUGGAGGUAGAGCACUGUUUGGGUGAGGGGUCCAUCCCGGAUUACCAAUCUCAGAUAAACUCCGAAUGCCAAUGAAUUAUGGUCGGCAGUCAGACUGCGAGUGCUAAGAUCCGUAGUCGAAAGGGAAACAGCCCAGACCACCAGCUAAGGUCCCAAAAUAAUUGUUAAGUGGAAAAGGAUGUGGGGUUGCACAGACAACUAGGAUGUUAGCUUAGAAGCAGCUAUUCAUUCAAAGAGUGCGUAAUAGCUCACUAGUCGAGUGACCCUGCGCCGAAAAUGUACCGGGGCUAAAACAAUUUACCGAAGCUGUGGAUACCUUUAUAGGUAUGGUAGGAGAGCGUUCUAUGUGUGAUGAAGGUAUACCGUGAGGAGUGCUGGAACGCAUAGAAGUGAGAAUGCCGGUAUGAGUAGCGAAAGACAGGUGAGAAUCCUGUCCACCGUAAGACUAAGGUUUCCAGGGGAAGGCUCGUCCGCCCUGGGUUAGUCGGGACCUAAGGAGAGACCGAAAGGUGUAUCCGAUGGACAACAGGUUGAUAUUCCUGUACUAGAGUAUGUAGUGAUGGAGGGACGCAGUAGGCUAACUAAAGCAGACGAUUGGAAGAGUCUGUCUAAGCAGUGAGGUGUGAAUUGAGUCAAAUGCUUAAUUCUAUAACAUUGAGCUGUGAUGGGGAGCGAAGUUUAGUAGCGAAGUUAGUGACGUCACACUGCCAAGAAAAGCUUCUAGCGUUUAAACAUACUCUACCCGUACCGCAAACCGACACAGGUAGUCGAGGCGAGUAGCCUCAGGUGAGCGAGAGAACUCUCGUUAAGGAACUCGGCAAAAUGACCCCGUAACUUCGGGAGAAGGGGUGCUGACUUAAAGUCAGCCGCAGUGAAUAGGCCCAAGCAACUGUUUAUCAAAAACACAGCUCUCUGCUAAAUCGUAAGAUGAUGUAUAGGGGGUGACGCCUGCCCGGUGCUGGAAGGUUAAGAGGAGUGCUUAGCGUAAGCGAAGGUAUGAAUUGAAGCCCCAGUAAACGGCGGCCGUAACUAUAACGGUCCUAAGGUAGCGAAAUUCCUUGUCGGGUAAGUUCCGACCCGCACGAAAGGCGUAAUGAUUUGGGCACUGUCUCAACGAGAGACUCGGUGAAAUUUUAGUACCUGUGAAGAUGCAGGUUACCCGCGACAGGACGGAAAGACCCCAUGGAGCUUUACUGCAGUUUGAUAUUGAGUGUCUGUACCACAUGUACAGGAUAGGUAGGAGUCUAAGAGAUCGGGACGCCAGUUUCGAAGGAGACGCUGUUGGGAUACUACCCUUGUGUUAUGGCCACUCUAACCCAGAUAGGUGAUCCCUAUCGGAGACAGUGUCUGACGGGCAGUUUGACUGGGGCGGUCGCCUCCUAAAAGGUAACGGAGGCGCCCAAAGGUUCCCUCAGAAUGGUUGGAAAUCAUUCGCAGAGUGUAAAGGUAUAAGGGAGCUUGACUGCGAGAGCUACAACUCGAGCAGGGACGAAAGUCGGGCUUAGUGAUCCGGUGGUUCCGUAUGGAAGGGCCAUCGCUCAACGGAUAAAAGCUACCCUGGGGAUAACAGGCUUAUCUCCCCCAAGAGUUCACAUCGACGGGGAGGUUUGGCACCUCGAUGUCGGCUCGUCGCAUCCUGGGGCUGUAGUCGGUCCCAAGGGUUGGGCUGUUCGCCCAUUAAAGCGGCACGCGAGCUGGGUUCAGAACGUCGUGAGACAGUUCGGUCCCUAUCCGUCGCGGGCGUAGGAAAUUUGAGAGGAUCUGCUCCUAGUACGAGAGGACCAGAGUGGACUUACCGCUGGUGUACCAGUUGUCUUGCCAAAGGCAUCGCUGGGUAGCUAUGUAGGGAAGGGAUAAACGCUGAAAGCAUCUAAGUGUGAAACCCACCUCAAGAUGAGAUUUCCCAUGAUUAUAUAUCAGUAAGAGCCCUGAGAGAUGAUCAGGUAGAUAGGUUAGAAGUGGAAGUGUGGCGACACAUGUAGCGGACUAAUACUAAUAGCUCGAGGACUUAUCCAA